GUCCCCAUCGUCUAGCCUGGUUAGGACAUAGGCCUUUCGAGCCUACGGCACCGGUUCAAAUCCGGUUGGGGACG
rnacentral:tRNA from 1 species